ensembl:lncRNA
GGGGGAGGCAUGCCCCGGCCACCACUGCCAGGAGACUCAGGGCUGGGGGAGGCAUGCCCCGGCCACCACUGGUGAGCCAGCGAGACUGAGGACCCCGCACGUGCUGACCCGGGGACGCCGCGGAACUCACUCGAGACUGAGGACCCGGCGUGUGCUGACGCAGGGACGCCACGGAACUCACUCGAGAUUCCUGCUCACAGCACGUUUCCUGCUCGGAAGCCAGGAGAGCCUCCACGUGCCACCCAGCUCUGUCCACGUGUCCAUCACACAGCUCUGCAGCAGAAGGAACUUCAGUAAAGAUGCUGGUUUGUAAUGAGACAAGUGUUCCAAAGUGUCACACGACAUUGUUUAUUACUAAAAGGAGCAGAAUUUCUCUUUAAUCUCAACAGUGUUCCUUGCUUUCGUAACAGUAGGAUUUAAACUGUUACAUUCAUUUAGGAAAACUAUUUGAUUUUCAUUUUGUAAGUAACCAAGCUAUCUUUCCAGCUUAAAAGCAAAGAAAAGGCAUGAGCCACUGCGCCUGGCCCUGUACAGCUUUUCUGCAUCACCACCGUCGUGUCAGUUAGCUCAGCUCAGGCAUUGCACACCUAAUCUGUAUCUUUGGGAAUCCUGUGAGCUAAUGGUUCUAGAUCCAAAAGAAUGGAUAAAGAGAAUGUUUCAAGUUCCCGAAAUUAUCCAGGCACAUCCUGUGCACUACUGAACUUCAGAAAGCACCAGUCCAUCCAGUGUGCAGAGUCUGGUAAAUGGGCCAGCCGUGGGCACACACAGGCUCCCCAGAGACCCCGGGGCAGAGGGUCUUCCAGCUCUUCCAGGACAGGGCUAAUCCGUUCCUGGGCCAGGGGUGGAUCUGUUUUGCAGGUUUGCAAGGGUGGGGAGACGCCAGCCUGGCCCAUGGGCUGUCCAUGCCCACCCCCCACAGACCAUGCUGCCAUCCGGAGGGGAUGCCACUUUCUCCUGGCCUCGGGGAUGCACAGCAGCAGCCAGCCUGGCACACGCUGCCCUGCCCUGCCCGACUGUGGAGGUGAGCGGGUCCCCCCGGGCCUGGGUGGAAGGACUGCGCGCCUGUCAGGGAAGGCCGAGGCUCUGGACAGGUGGGAAGCAGCCUUCUCCUUAAUCACCCCAUGUGGAAACCAAUGAAAGGUUUGAGUCUCUCAGACCCGGGGUAUUUUAGUCUUGGUUGAAUCCUCCUGGAAUUCACAGGGAAGUGGCUUUGCCCUCUGCCCUUGCUGCUGGAAGGCAAGGGGCCAGCCUUGGCUUGGUUUUCUAGGUUGUGUUACGGCAGCAGCUGACGGCCCCUAGGCCUGGAUCCGCACGGCUUUGCUCAGGGACACCUGCCUCCGUUCUUGUCUGAUGGUGUGAACGUGUCUCCUGCUCACAGGUACCAUUUUGUGUCAUGGUUACUGGAAUGUACAAAAGCAGCUGUGAUGUGUGCAAAGAGUUGCAGACAAUUACAAAACCCAUCUCCCAGCAUGCGUGAUGGUGAGAGCUGCAAAGAGCAGGACUCUUUAUUUGGUUCACUUCCGGUCUGCAGCAACCACUUGAUAUCAAAAAACGGAAAAGAUGUACAAAAAGAUGUCACAUCCCUUUAGAAAGCGACAUCAUCAGAAACGUAUGUGACCUUCAGUCCUCCCUCCCUCUCCUGUACCUCCCCCAGACCAGGCUGCGAGAAGGAACGGGGAGUGAACAUAUAACAACGGAAAACAAUAAAACUGAAUUU